rnacentral:rRNA from 1 species
AGCGAACGCUGGCGGCAGGCCUAACACAUGCAAGUCGAGCGGCCGUAGCGAUACGGCAGCGGCAGACGGGAGAGUAACACGUGGGAACGCGCGCUUCGGUUCGGAAUAACUCAGGGAAACUUGAGCUAAUACCGGCUACGCCCUCACGGGGAAGGAUUUAUUGCCGGAGGAACGGCCCGCGGCCGAUUAGCUUGGUGGUGGGGUAACGGCUCACCAAGGCGACGAUCGGUAGCUGGUCUGAGAGGAUGACCAGCCUCACUGGGACUGAGACACGGCCCAGACUCCUACGGGAGGCAGCAGUGGGGAAUAUUGGACAAUGGGCGCAAGCCUGAUCCAGCCAUGCCGCGUGGGUGAUGAAGGCCCUAGGGUUGUAAAGCCCUUUCAGCGGGGAAGAUAAUGACGGUACCCGCAGAAGAAGCCCCGGCUAACUUCGUGCCAGCCGCCGCUGUAACAC